GGCUAGGGUUACUAUUAUGCUCGUGUUAGGAUUUGGCUAGGGUUAGUAUUUGCGAGUGGUAGGGUAUGGUUAGGGUUACUAAUAUGCGAGUCUUAGGGUUGGGCUAGGGUUACAAUUAUACUAGCGUUAGGUUUGGGCUACGGCUAAUAUAAUGCUAGGGUUACUAUUAUGCUAGUGUUAGGGUUUGGCUAGGGUUACUAUUAUGCUAGUGUUAGGGUUGGUCAAAGGUUACUAUUGUGCUAGAGUUAGGGUUUGGCUAGGGUUACUAUAAUGCUAUGGUUAUGGUUGGGCUAGGUUUACUAUUAUGCUAGUGUUAGGGUUGGACUAGGUUUACUGUUAUACUAGGAUUAGAGUUAGACUAGGGUUGCUGUUGUGCUAGAGUUAGGGUUGGUCUAGGGUUACUAUAAUACGAAUGGUAGGGUUGGGCUAGAGGUAGUAUAAUGCAAUGGUUAGGCUUUGGCUAGGUUUAUUAUUAUGCUUGUGUUAGGGUUGGGCUAGGUUUACUGUUAUGCUAGGAUUAGCGUCGGGCUAGGGUUACUCUUGUGCUAGAGUAUGGGUUCGGAUAGGGUUACUAUAAUGCCAGUGGUAGGGUUUGGCUAGUGCUACUAUAAUGCUAGUGUUAGGGCUGAUCUAGGGUAACUAUUGUGCUACAGUUAGGGAUGGGCUAGGUUUACUACAAUGCGAGUGUUAGGGUUGGGCUAGGGUUACUAUAAUGCUAGUGUUAAUGUUGGGCUAGGGUUACUAUUGUACUAGUGUUAGGGUUGGGCUACGGCUACUAUAAUGCUAGUGUUAGGGUUUGGCAGGGUUACUAUUGUGCUAGAGUUAGGGUUGGUCUAGGGUUACUAUAAUACGAAUGGUAGGGUUGGGCUAGGUUUACUAUCAUGCUAGUGUUAGGGUUGCGGUAGGGUUACUUUUAUGGUAGUGUUAGGAUUUGGCUAGGGUUAGUAUUAUGCGAGUCUUCGGGUUGGGCUAGGGUUACAAUU
ensembl:lncRNA